CCCAAUGUUAACCACAGCCCGAUUUUGGAUAAUGCAACCAGCAAUUCCUCAAUCUCAUGAGGAACCUAUGAUAUGUAUCAAUUGUAUAGCUGACAUGAUGCAGAGGAGGCGACAUAGCCUAGAGCUUAUUAAGUUCAGUUGGUUAUUAUGUCAGUGGAUGACUCUUCAGCUGAUUGAUAACAGCAGUGUAUGUUGUCACUCAUGUUGGACCGUGGCCACGGUGUGGCUCUGCACCAAUCAAGGACAAAUAAUAUUUCAAAUGAAGAAGCAACCACUAGCACUGGUCACAGUUAACGUGGAUUAUCUUUGUUACAAAUACGUUCCAUAGACUGCAUAUUAACACGGAACAAGAAUCACAUAUUUGAAAAUAAUGUAAUAAUGGAACAGAUUUCACCUCGUCAACUGCGGGGAUCUGACCAAAUAUGUCAUCCCUGAUGGCAGUGAGCUGAUCGAGCUGCUACACAUGCUGUGGAGCCCCAACAAACACAUGAUGGGACGAGGAUUCAUUUGCCCUUAUAUUGGCCGAAUAACAGUAGGUUGCUGUGCUCAUGUUAUGACAAUUUUGUGGUUUUUGAGCUGGGCAAGGUAUCAGGAACAUGUAUUUCCACCUGCCUAGUUCCUAGACAAUAUUUUAUUGACCCAUGAGUCAGAUUAAAAUAAUAAUAAUAAAAAAAAA